CCCCCACUUCCUCCUGUCCCUCCUGUCGUCCUUGCAUUUGGUGACGGCGGUGUGCACCCACCACACCUUGGUGAACAUACUGCCGUAGGCCAGGCUGAACCCCACGCCCAGCAGCCACAGCCGCGCCUGCACGGCCCCCGCGGACACGCGGACGGACAUAGGGACACACGGACAUACGGACACACAGAACGGACAUAGGGACAUAACGACAUAGGGACACACGGACAUAGGGACACACGGACAUUAUAGGGACACACGGACAUAGGGACACACGGACAUAGGGACACACGGACAUAGGGACACGGACAUAGGGACAUAGGGACACACAGACAGACGGACACACACAGACACACAGCCACAAUGAGCCACGGUGCACCACAAUGGAACCCAACAGAUCCCAAUGGACUCCAAUGGACCCCAAUGGAGCCCAAUGCACCCAAUGGACCCCAAUGGACCCCAAUGGAUCCCAAUGGGCCCCAAUGGACCCCAAUGCACCACAAUGGACCCCAAUGGACUCCAAUGGACUCCAAUGGACCCCAAUGGA
ensembl:lncRNA